CGAAGGGGGCUAGCGUUGCUCGGAAUCACUGGGCGUAAAGGGCGCGUAGGCGGAUCUUUAAGUCGGGGGUGAAAGCCCAGGGCUCAACCCUGGAAUCGCCUUCGAUACUGGAGAUCUUGAGACCGGAAGAGGUAAGUGGAACUGCGAGUGUAGAGGUGAAAUUCGUAGAUAUUCGCAAGAACACCAGUGGCGAAGGCGGCUUACUGGUCCGGUUCUGACGCUGAGGCGCGAAAGCGUGGGGAGCAAACAGGAUUAGAUACCCUGGUAGUCCACGCCGUAAACGAUGGAUGCUAGCUGUUGGCCGGCUUGCCGGUCAGUAGCGCAGCUAACGCUUUAAGCAUCCCGCCUGGGGAGUACGGUCGCAAGAUUA
rnacentral:rRNA from 1 species